ACGGGAGGCAGCAGUGGGGAAUAUUGCACAAUGGGCGCAAGCCUGAUGCAGCGAUGCCGCGUGAGGGAAGAAGGUUUUCGGAUUGUAAACCUCUGUCAACAGGGACGAAAAUGACGGUACCUGUGAAGGAAGCUCCGGCUAACUACGUGCCAGCAGCCGCGGUAAUACGUAGGGGGCAAGCGUUAUCCGGAUUUACUGGGUGUAAAGGGAGCGCAGGCGGUUUUUUAAGUCUGAUGUGAAAGCCCGCGGCUCAACUGCGGGACUGCAUUGGAAACUGGAGAACUAGAGUGUCGGAGGGGCAAGUGGAAUUCCUAGUGUAGCGGUGAAAUGCGUAGAUAUUAGGAGGAACACCAGUGGCGAAGGCGGCUUGCUGGACGAUAACUGACGCUGAGGCUCGAAAGCGUGGGGAGCAAACAGGAUUAGAUACCCUGGUA
rnacentral:rRNA from 1 species